rnacentral:rRNA from 1 species
AGCGAACGCUUGGCGGCAGGCUUAACACAUGCAAGUCGAACGCCAUCUUCGGAUGGAGUGGCAGACGGGUGAGUAACGCGUGGGAACGUACCCUUUGGUUCGGAAUAUUCUCGGGAAACUGGGAGCAAUACCGGAUAAGCCCUACGGGGGAAAGAUUUAUCGCCAAAGGAGCGGCCCGCGUCAGAUUAGGUAGUUGGUGGGGUAAAGGCCUACCAAGCCUACGAUCUGUAGCUGGUCUGAGAGGAUGAUCAGCCACACUGGGACUGAGACACGGCCCAGACUCCUACGGGAGGCAGCAGUGGGGAAUCUUGGACAAUGGGCGCAAGCCUGAUCCAGCCAUGCCGCGUGGAUGAUGAAGGCCUUAGGGUUGUAAAAUCCUUUCAACGGGGACGAUAAUGACGGUACCCGUAGAAGAAGCCCCGGCUAACUUCGUG